UCAAAACUGGAAUGUCAGCUUUAGUACUGCAGCAGGGGGCUUUUGGCUGCUCUUUUUAAAAAUCUCAUGAGAAGGGACAUAUAAGUACCAUCGGGUUGAGCUGCUUCUCCAUUAGCUUAAUUGUAUAUGUGCUGCCUGAUUGUCAUCCCAACAUUUAGCAAGAGCUGAACCUAUAUUUUCAGAAAAUAGUGCUGACAUGAAGAGGUGAGUCUUGUUUGAAUUUUUCUUUAUGCUCAGUGUGAAUAACAUUGUGCUUGUGUGUUUACCUGGAUGACCUAAUAUAAUAAUAUUACUGAUACCCCCCCUUCCUAUACCUUUAAAAUAUCUAUUUUUAGAAUUUUCCUUAUGAUUAUGGAUGUUUUGAUUGCUACACAUACAUGCUGCCAUAGCUGUACAAACUCUGGCAAAAAUGCCUAUACCAAAAGUGCUUACAAAUGAUUACAAGCGAUAUUUUAAAUCUGUCUACUGUAAAAGUAAAUAGCUGCUGUAGUAUGCUGCCUGGUUUAGCAAAUGCAUGUGCACUCAACCUGCUCUAACUCCUGUGAAGCUUUGAAACCCCUCAGAUUUUCUAUUUCUCUGUAACGUUAAAUAUUCAUGACUAAAUUUAAAAAAGAACAACAUUGUUAUUAUUUAUUAAGAGAAUAAGACUCAAAAACUAUAAUAACUUACAUAAUCUGCUAAUCUGUGAUCAGUUGCUUAUAAUAAGAAGCUGAGAAAAUAUAUUUUCAGUUGCUUUAAACAACUAGAAAAUUGUAUAAAGGCUGAAAUGUCCAUUUAAAACAUGGACUUGCACCAUAAUAUUAUUAGAUAUUGAAUCUUAAAAUUUCCCCCCCAAAUUUUAAAUAUUUACAGCCUGUCCUGAUACCCCACUGAAAAUAAAACCUGCUGUCUUGGAAAGUAAGUGUUUUAUUUUUAGUUGUACACAUGCUCCAGCAUAUGUUCAGAAAGGUUCUGUGCUCCAGCAGCGAUCUUGGCUCUUGGUGGAUCUUGAAAAUGAACUAGACAACGCAUAUGGUAAAAGCAAAACAGCCUGCAACAGGAGACAUCUUGGCAGGAGUCAUUUUGCAUUAAAGGAUACCCACUCUUCUCUCCUCCCACUGAAUAGUUUUGCAAUUUUAGCUCAUUACAUUUAUAGUUUAAUGUUUGGCUGAGGCUCCCAUCUGAUUUAAUUAAUUCUAAAUUGUGGGGGAGGGGACGUUGUAGACAAAAUAACUGUCAAUAGAUCCUGAAUAUCUUUCCUAGUCACUGUCCCUGAGACUUUAAAAACUGUUGCUGCAGGCUGCUCUACAGUAAACUUCUCUUGCUCUAUACAAAUAAGAGCCAUGCUUCAAAACAUCAUUACAUAUAACCAGUAUGAAGGCAGGCUGACUGUCACUGCAGGCAACAUAACAAGUCACCAGGCUUAAAAUUAGAGACGAGCUAUCUGAAAUGUUGGACUACUCUAGCAGAAAGGAAAUAUAUCCAGCUUUUCACCCUGAGUCAACCCUUAGAGUUUGUGCUGAUACUCGCCUUCCUGUGUCUUUCUUUUACUCUUUACUGUUGAUGUUAUGCUUGUAUAUGUCUCACUCUGUUAUGUUCUGCACACACAAUCAUAAAGGACAAAAUAAUAUUAAUAUAAUUUUGACAGGUGAGUCUGUUUUCCUAAUAUGUUGUUUUUAUCUAAUAAUAACUAACAUAACAUAAUUAAAAAGAUCCUUGUGACAUUUAUUUGCUCCCGUAGACUUUGACAGUUUGUCAUAACUAACUCUGCUUUAUUGCACACUGACAUUAACAGAAAAAAGAUUUUGUGUGUGAAUUCUUCGCUGUCCAUGCAUGGUCAAACCUUGUGAUGUUUGACUGUAAUUUCAUCUUUGCAUGUGCAUAACACCACAUCCCUUGACAUUUCUUAAAGCUGACCUCUUCUCGUAUUAACAGCAUGGAAUACAGUAACACUCUCCAGAAGAUGCCAGCUGAGUUAUUUGAAGUUUGUUGAAAAGAAGACAAACGAAUUGUGCAGUGUGUCAGUGGUACGUGACAUGUCCAAGUGAUUCUCAGCCACCCACCGCAGAUGACUGCACCACUGACCACAUACUCUCAAAAUGGCAUCUGGUAGCUUCUCGAAUGUCCCUCACUGCAUUUCUCCACACAUCACUGACUGUAGCUGUGUGUACAAGACAGAAAGUAGCUUCAGCUGUGUAACUCACACAAAACCGAGCCUGAUGACAAGGCCUUUCGGUGUCAAGUGAGCUCUAAUGGUGGUACUCCUUCAAAUCCACGUCUCAGUGGAGUUGCUCAUUUGUUCAGCUGGCUGACAAGUCGAUGCAUAUAUGUUGUUCCGAACAUGUAGGAAGCUUUAGCAUGGUAUGUGUUGCAGUAUGUUUUGAUCAGUCUGUGUAUUCUCCACUUUCUAGUCUUAUUUCUUAAAUUGAUUGUGUCCUUUCAGACCUAGAAAGCGUAACUGCAUUGAAGAGAGGUGCUUUUUACAGACUCACAAUGUGAAACACAGACAGUGUUUCCUUGCUGAACUGCGGUGGAUGGAUGGUAACACAAAGAGGGAAUUUGCACUAAAAAGACUUGUCUUAGAUAACAUGCUUGUCCAAGUUCUCCCCUUGUGUGCCAUUACUCUGAUGUUAACUGUGUUCCCCAAUAAAGCUUUCAGGUAUAUGUAGA